rnacentral:misc_RNA from 1 species
UGAGACACAUUAUGAUUCACCAUUGAAAAGAACAAGAAUUCAGAUAACACUUUGUCAAUUAAGAAUCACCAUUACAAGCCAAAAGCAACACACUGAUGUAACAAAGUAGAAGAUGUUUUAUUGUUUAUAACUACAUAUAUGAGAUAGCUUAUGAGAUUCCUUAUGUCGAUUUGGCGAUAUGGUAGCUACCCUGCUGCUGCUGAUUGCUCUUAAUGGCUAAGAUACUUUUCUCUAGCUGAAUUAAGGUCUCAAAUUUGCCUCCAAGAAUGCAAUAUUCGCGUGUGAUUAUGUUUAAAGCUUUGAGGCACCCUCCCUUGUUUUUUUCAUCGAAAGCUUGUUGAAGAUCAGCACAAGCAAGUUUCAGUCUGUGUGCUCCAAUGCUUGAGCUACUUCCUUUCAGCUGAUGAACACAUGAUUCCAACUUGGAGAAGUCCACAUUUUGUUGAGUCAUAUAUUUGUUCAAUUCUGUUAUAAUUCUUUCAGCAUCAUUGCAGAAGGAGGUGAUCACUUCAGCAAUAAAAUUGGGAUUGGUUUCGUCUUGCAAGGCUUGAAUUUGAAUAAAUUGUCCAUCCAGCAGUCCCUCAUCAAACAUAGAUUGUACAAAGGCACUGAGCUGUGCUUUGAGAGCAAGCAGUGCCAUUAAUUCAACCUGAAAAUAUGGUGUUUUGAAAAGGGAGAGAGAAGUGAAGCGUGGAUUAAGGGAGAAGAUCAGGUGGGG